rnacentral:tRNA from 2 species
CCUCGUGUCACCAGUUCAAAUCUGGUUCCUGGCA